GUGAAUUUAACCAGAUCGUAAUGUUUUGAUUUUACGGUUAUGUGCAAGUUUAUUUGUGGAUCUUAAUUGAUUUUUGAUCGAGUACCAUAGGGUGCAAGGUAGACAUUUACAGUAUAUAGACAAUAACUGUUUAGUGUCUUUAAAUAUCAGCUGUAUUUGUACGAGGCUAGGAAACAAGGUGUAUGCGAGCUUUUAGCGAGCUACUACACCUGUUUCGAGCCGAGUACAAAUACAGCUGAUAUUUAAAGACACUAAACAGUUAUUGUCUUUAUCCUGCAAUUAAUUCUGUAUAUUGUUUGUGUUUUGAAAGACACAAAAACUAACAUAUUUAGCAUUUAUUUUCGAUUUGUAAUCCCUUGAGGCCCGCGUAGUAAUAUCAAAAUCACACAUUACGCUGAAGACGGGUUCGCAAAAAAGAAUCUCGAAUGGUCAAUAAUAAUACA
rnacentral:lncRNA from 1 species